AUCCAGCUGACGAGUCUCGUGCAGGACGAAACGUGCGUCAAACUGGAU
rnacentral:hammerhead_ribozyme from 1 species